UACGGGGGGGGCAAGCGUUGUUCGGAAUUACUGGGCGUAAAGGGCUCGUAGGCGGCCAACUAAGUCCGACGUGAAAUCCCUCGGCUUAACCGGGGAACUGCGUCUGAUACUGGAUGGCUUGAGUUCGGGAGAGGGAUGCGGAAUUCCAGGUGUAGCGGUGAAAUGCGUAGAUAUCUGGAGGAACACCGGUGGCGAAGGCGGCAUCCUGGACCGACACUGACGCUGAGGAGCGAAAGCCAGGGGAGCAAACGGG
rnacentral:rRNA from 1 species